rnacentral:rRNA from 1 species
AGCGAACGCUGGCGGCAGGCUUAACACAUGCAAGUCGAACGGUCCUUCAGGAUAGUGGCGGACGGGGGAGUAACACGUGGGAACGUACCCUUAGGUUCGGAACAUCACAGGGAAACUUGUGCUAAUACCCGAUAAGCCCUUCGGGGGACAGAUUUAUCGCCGUUGGAGAGGCUCGCGUCUGAUUCGCUUGUUGGUGAGGUAAUGGCUCACCAAGGCUGCGAUCAGUAGCUGGUCUGAGUGUAUGGCCAGCCACACUGGGACUGAGACACCGUCCAGACACCUACGGGAGGCAGCAGUGGGGAAUCUUGCGCAAUGGGCGAAAGCCUGACUCAGCCAUGCCGCGUGGAUGAUGAAGGUCUUAGGACUGUAAAAUCCUUUCACCGGGUACGAUAAUGACGGUACCCGGAGAAGAAGCCCCGGCUAACUUCGUGCCAGCCGCCGCCGUAA